CCCUUAGAUGUUCUGGGCCGCACGCGCGCUACACUGAUGCAUUCAACGAGCCUAUCCUUGACCGACAGGUCCGGGUAAUCUUUGAAUCUGCAUCGUGACGGGGAUAGAUUAUUGCAAUUAUUAAUCUUCAACGAGGAAUGCCUAGUAGGCGCAAGUCAUCAGCUUGCGUCGAUUACGUCCCUGCCCUUUGUACACACCGCCCGUCGCUCCUACCGAUUGGGUGUGCUGGUGAAAUGUUCGGAUCGGCCGUUUGUCGCGGUUUCCGCGUCAUGUGGCUGAGAAGUUCCUUAAACCCUCCCACCUAGAGGAAGGAGAAGUCGUAACA
rnacentral:rRNA from 1 species